rnacentral:rRNA from 1 species
GCGGCCUAUCAGCUUGUUGGUGGGGUGAUGGCCUACCAAGGCGACGACGGGUAGCCGGCCUGAGAGGGUGUCCGGCCACACUGGGACUGAGAUACGGCCCAGACUCCUACGGGAGGCAGCAGUGGGGAAUAUUGCACAAUGGGCGCAAGCCUGAUGCAGCGACGCCGCGUGGGGGAUGACGGCCUUCGGGUUGUAAACCUCUUUCACCAUCGACGAAGGCCUGGUUUUUGCUGGGUUGACGGUAGGUGGAGAAGAAGCACCGGCCAACUACGUGCCAGCAGCCGCGGUAAUACGUAGGGUGCGAGCGUUGUCCGGAAUUACUGGGCGUAAAGAGCUCGUAGGUGGUUUGUCGCGUUGUUCGUGAAAUGCCACAGCUUAACUGUGGGCGUGCGGGCGAUACGGGCAGACUGGAGUACUGCAGGGGAGACUGGAAUUCCUGGUGUAGCGGUGGAAUGCGCAGAUAUCAGGAGGAACACCGGUGGCGAAGGCGGGUCUCUGGGCAGUAACUGACGCUGAGGAGCGAAAGCGUGGGGAGCGAACAGGAUUAGAUACCCUGGUAGUCCACGCCGUAAACGGUGGGUACUAGGUGUGGGUUUCCUUCCUUGGGAUCCGUGCCGUAGCUAACGCAUUAAGUACCCCGCCUGGGGAGUACGG